GUCUUACAGGCUUAAAAUGAAGAUAUGGUUGCGGGCUUUCAGGAACAGCAGCAAGCUAUUGGAUUUAGAAUUGAAUAUGAUGGAUCAGUUGAUGGAGAAAAGGCUAGCCUAAUAUGCAGUAUUAGAUUUUUGAAUGUGCAAUGAUUUAGGGUAAAUAAAGCAAAAAAAUAAUGAAAUUAAUUUGGAAUAAGUGUAGAUAUAGCGUCAAACUAGCAUUGUUUCUUCAAUGUGAUCGUAAACCUUUAAAAGUUGAACAAUCAAGUCCUCAAACUUGGACGUUUUUUCUGGUUCAGUACUAACCUUCCUUAAGCAAACACCAUUAAUGCACACUUGCAAUGACACAAAACAGGCUCACAUCAUCUAAGGAUUUUUUUUUU
rnacentral:misc_RNA from 1 species